UAUUAUGCACAUUUUCUAGACC
rnacentral:miRNA from 1 species